rnacentral:rRNA from 1 species
CCUGGUUGAUCCUGCCAGUAAUCAUAUGCUUGUCUCAAAGAUUAAGCCAUGCAUGUCUAAGUACAUGCCGAAAUAAGGCGAAACCGCGAAUGGCUCAUUAAAUCAUUAGGUUCCUUAGAUCGUUUCUUCCUACUUGGAUACGUGGCAAUUCUAGAGCUAAUACAUGCAGUGAGCCUGGAGCCCUUUGGGUAACGGGUGCUUUUAUUAGACCAAGAUCGAUCGGGUUUCGGCCCGUAUUGUGUGGUGACUCUGGAUAACUUUGUGCUGAUCGCAUGGCCACGAGCCGGCGACGUUUCUUUCAAGUGUCUGCCUUAUCAACUUUCGAUGGUAGGUUACUUGCUUACCAUGGUUGUUACGGGUAACGGAGAAUCAGGGUUCGAUUCCGGAGAGGGAGCCUGAGAAACGGCUACCACAUCCAAGGAAGGCAGCAGGCGCGCAAAUUACCCACCCCGGCACGGGGAGGUAGUGACGAAAAAUAACAAUACGGGACUCUUUUGAGGCCCCGUAAUUGAAAUGAGUACACUCUAAAUCCUUUAACGAGGAUCAAUUGGAGGGCAAGUCUGGUGCCAGCAGCCGCGGUAAUUCCAGCUCCAAUAGCGUAUACUAAAGCUGCUGCGGUUAAAAAGCUCGUAGUUGGAUCUCAGUUCCAGACGAGUAGUGCAUCUACCCGAUGCGACGGCUCGGACUGAACAUCAUGCCGGUUCUUUCUUGGUGCACUUCAUUGUGUGCCUCGAGAUGGCCGGUGCUUUUACUUUGAAAAAAUUAGAGUGCUCAACGCAGGCGAGUCGCCUGAAUAAACUUGCAUGGAAUAAUAGAACAAGACCUCGUUUCUGUUCUGUUGGUUUUUGGAAUACGAGGUAAUGAUUAAGAGGGACGGACGGGGGCAUUCGUAUUGCGGCGCUAGAGGUGAAAUUCUUGGACCGUCGCAAGACGAACUACUGCGAAAGCAUUUGCCAAGAAUGUUUUCAUUGAUCAAGAACGAAAGUCAGAGGUUCGAAGGCGAUCAGAUACCGCCCUAGUUCUGACCAUAAACGAUGCCAACCAGCGAUCCGCCUGAGUUACUCAAAUGACUCGGCGGGCAGCUUCCGGGAAACCAAAGUAUUUGGGUUCCGGGGGAAGUAUGGUUGCAAAGCUGAAACUUAAAGGAAUUGACGGAAGGGCACCACCAGGAGUGGAGCCUGCGGCUUAAUUUGACUCAACACGGGAAAACUUACCCGGCCCGGACACUGGGAGGAUUGACAGAUUGAGAGCUCUUUCUUGAUUCGGUGGAUGGUGGUGCAUGGCCGUUCUUAGUUGGUGGAGCGAUUUGUCUGGUUAAUUCCGAUAACGAACGAGACUCUAGCCUAUUAAAUAGGUGCGGGGUUCCCAGCACCUUACAACCUUCUUAGAGGGACAAGCGGCUCCUAGCCGCACGAAACAGAGCAAUAACAGGUCUGUGAUGCCCUUAGAUGUCCGGGGCCGCACGCGCGCUACACUGAAGGAAGCAGCGUGUCUUUAUCCCUGUCUGAAAAGACUGGGUAACCCGUGGAACUUCUUUCGUGAUUGGGAUAGGGGCUUGCAAUUGUUCCCCUUGAACGAGGAAUUCCCAGUAAGCGCGAGUCAUAAGCUCGCGUUGAUUACGUCCCUGCCCUUUGUACACACCGCCCGUCGCUACUACCGAUUGAAUGAUUUAGUGAGGUCUUCGGACCGAUGUCCGGCGCGGCCUUUCGGUUGCGCCGGUCUGUUGGAAAGAUGACCAAACUUGAUCAUUUAGAGGAAGUAAAAGUCGUAACAAGGUUUCCGUAGGUGAACCUGCGGAAG